AUGGCGGAGGAGAAGGGGACGCUGCAGGCGAUGAGGGGGUGGGUCGUGGACCACAAGCUGCGGGCCGUAGGGACGCUGUGGCUCACGGGGAUCGCGGGAUCCAUCGCCUACAACUGGUCCAGGUCCGGGAUGAAGACCAGCGUCAAGCUCAUCCACGCCAGGCUUCACGCUCAGGCCCUCACCCUGGCUGCCUUGGGUUGUUCCGCACUGGUAGAGUACUAUGAUCACCAGUCAGGUUCAGGGUCAAAAGUUCACGACUAUGCAAAGCAGUUCCUUCCGUCGGACAGAAACGCCAAAAAGGACUCUGUGUAG
rnacentral:rRNA from 1 species